GCAGAGUAGGAUCCUGCGCGUUUACCUUUAGGGUAUCCAGUGCCUGGCGAACGGGGAGUUGUCGCCGGGACGAACAGGAAGUCUUUUGCAAAAAAUUUGAGCAAAAGCUUUCCGGCGGUGCCGGAUCCGCAUCCCGUUG
rnacentral:ncRNA from 1 species